rnacentral:rRNA from 1 species
AUUGAACGCUGGCGGCAUGCCUUACACAUGCAAGUCGAACGGUAACAGGUCUUCGGAUGCUGACGAGUGGCGAACGGGUGAGUAAUACAUCGGAACGUGCCUAGUAGUGGGGGAUAACUACUCGAAAGAGUGGCUAAUACCGCAUGAGAUUUACGGAUGAAAGCAGGGGAUCGCAAGACCUUGUGCUACUAUAGCGGCCGAUGGCAGAUUAGGAAGUUGGUGGGAUAAAAGCUUACCAAGCCGACGAUCUGUAGCUGGUCUGAGAGGACGAUCAGCCACACUGGGACUGAGACACGGCCCAGACUCCUACGGGAGGCAGCAGUGGGGAAUUUUGGACAAUGGGCGCAAGCCUGAUCCAGCAAUGCCGCGUGCAGGAUGAAGGCCUUCGGGUUGUAAACUGCUUUUGUACGGAACGAAAAGCCCUGGGUUAAUACCCUGGGGUCAUGACGGUACCGUAAGAAUAAGCACCGGCUAACUACGUGCCAGCCGCCGCCGUAAUAC